CGAGGAAGCUGCACCACACCGCGAGGCUGCUGGAGCGUGCGAGCUGGCUGCGCUGCUGCGCGCACGGCCCGCGCGCCGUGGAGGCCGUGGCGCUUAUCCGAUUAGCCGGUGCUGGCGCGGGGGUGGGCGUGAACCACGGACCGCCACCGAGACCCCUCAAGGCCGCCCGGUGGUGUGAGGGCGUGUGUGUGUGCUCGCGACGGCCGCCCUCGCCGGUGGCUGUGGCGGGUGCAAGAGUGCGCUGUGCCGCAGCGCGGUGCGCGUGGAGGGCGGGCCGCUCGCGCACGUCGGCGUCCGCGGCGCGGAGGGCAGGCUGCCGCUGCGUCGUCGAGGCGCUCUGCGUGAAGCGGGGGCGCGAGGUGUGCGGCGACGCUGUGGCGCUGGCGUGUGCGACCGUCGUCUGUGCCAUCUCACCGUGGAGGGUGCCCAUCGCGUCGCUCAGCAUGGCCGCCGCUGGGGUGCGGCGCCUCGGCCUGCGCAUGAUUGCCGUGCGCCCCGCGAGCGGGCGUUCGCGUAGACGCAGCACGCCGUGGGCGAGUUGUUUGCCGCGGUGCAUGAAUGCCGCCUCUCGGCGGGAAGGCGCACGGAUGAGAAGCUGCUGAGGUCGGUGCGGCGCUGGGGGCGCACUGCGUUGCACGAUCCCGCACAGGACGUGUGCGUGUUCCACCACAAGCUUUUCCACUCCGCCUCCCGGUGCUGCUGGCCGCAGGCGCGCGGUGAGAUGAGGAGGUGACGGGGAAGGCGGGUGGUGGCUCUGCGCGAGCGCGUGGGUGUCGGGUGGAUGGGAGUGUGCACUGAUGUAGGUGCACCCUCGCGUGCUGCGACUGCACCGCCGCCCUCCUCGCCCCAUGGGGCGCACACGGGGUCGCUGCUGCUCGCAUCCCCUGCUCUUUGGUGAUGUUCCUUUUUUUUCUUGUGGUGCAGGGCCGCGGCGGUGCGGGGAUGGGCGGUGCUGCAUCCCGCCCGCACAGACACCGAGGCCGCCCCCCGCACCUCCCCCCCUGCACACACGUGCCCAUCGGCCUCGCGCAAGCGCUCCUAGGACAACGCCGACCAGAGAAAAACGCAGCAAGCGGCUCCAGGCGGUAGGCUGUGCGACUGCGGGUCUUUGCGCUCUCUUCCCCUCGUCCUCGCUGUGCGCGGCGCGAGGGGUGUGGCGAGGACAUGCGGUGAGGGGCGCGGGAGGGGCUGCCCGGAG
rnacentral:misc_RNA from 1 species